UACGUAGGGGGCGAGCGUUGCCCGGAGUUACUGGGCGUAAAGCGCACGCAGGCGGUCUGUUAAGUUUGGAGUGACAGUUGGUGGCUUAACUGCCAAAGUGCUUCGAAAACUGACAGACUUGAGGGCUUCAGAGGGACACGGAAUUCCGGGUGGAGUGGUGAAAUGCGUAGAGAUCCGGAGGAACACCAAAGGCGAAGGCAGUGUCCUGGGGAGUGCCUGACGCUCAGGUGCGAAAGCCAGGGGAGCGAACGGG
rnacentral:rRNA from 1 species